CCUACGGGUGGCAGCAGUGGGGAAUAUUGCACAAUGGAGGGAACCCUGAUGCAGCAAUGCCGCGUGCGGGAAGAAGCCCUCCUGUGCGUAAAGCCCUGUUAGCAGGGAGGAAAAUGACAGUACCUGGACAAGACUGCCCGGCUAACUCCGUUCCAGCAGCCGCGGUCAUACGUAGGGGGCAAGCGUUAUCCGGAGUUACGGGGUGUAACGGGUGCGAAGGCGGCGGGGUAAGUUAGAGGUGAAACCCCGGGGCCCAACCCCGGGAGUGCAUGUGAAACUGCUAGGCUGGAGAGCCGGAGCGGUAAGCGGAAUUCCUAGUGUAGCGGUGAAAUGCGUAGAUAUUAGAAGGAACACCAGUGGCGGAGGCAGCUUACUGGACGGUAUCUGACGCUGAGGCACGAAAGCGUGGGGAGCAAACAGGAUUAGAUACCCGUGUAGUC
rnacentral:rRNA from 1 species